UCCAGGUCGCACUGGAAUCCAGUUGCGGACUGGCUUGACCAGCUAGAGAUGCCAAAGCCUGGAAAGAUGCCUACUAAUUCCCUGGUGGAGAUUAGGCAGUGCCUGGAAACUUUAAAAGUUUCAGCAGUAAAAGCUGACAGAUGAAUGCUAGCUGCUCGGACCAGAUGGCUUUUGUUGGAAGCCCUUAAAAAGAAGUAUUCAACUGACCUACAAAACGAUGUACAAUUUUUAGGAGUCCUGUGGUCAAGGAAAGACACGGGCUUUAUCUCACACUGUGGUUGACAAGAGUCCUUGAAUGCUAUCACUGAUGUCCUACAGCAGUAAAUCAGGCCCCUUGAUGUGCCAAUGGCUGCCCAAGGAGGAAUAUGUGCCAUUAAGCAGUAAUGUUAUUUGUUCAUCCCGGACAAGGCUGAAUUUUUGAAUAAAAGCAUCCAGUUUAAGGAAGUACCACAAUACCACCUGAAAAAUGAAGGGUUGCUGGGGGAGCUUAAUGUUUUUGGAUGGGGAGCAUGGUAGAAAAAGGUUUUGGUGUUUCUUUGUAUGAUUGUUGCAUGUUCACUUUUAUUAAGUAUGGUAAUAUAUUGUUGGUGGUUUUUUUGUAUUCAGUUAGAGCUGGAGGAUUGCCAUAUAGAAAUCCUGCUUGUGCAAGCACCACAUUAUUUAGUCCACACCUAGGCACCCCUGAGGGAAGUGGAAGUUUAUCGGCAAGAUUGUAAGGGGCGAUAUGGCUCAUUUUUUUAUACUAGGGGUGACUGUAUACCCUGAACUAAGCUAACGCCGUAUUUCAGCGUGUUCACUCCUGUAAGUAUUUACCUUUAAUA